rnacentral:lncRNA from 1 species
AGGAAGCUCAUCCUAAGGGAAGAAUCAUGGGAAAGAGGAGGCUUCACAGGAAGUAUGGUGCUGGCAUCUGCUCAGCUUCUGGUGAAGUCUCAGAGAGCUUGCGAUCGUGGCGGAAGGCAAAGCAGGAGCAAAUACUUCACAAGAAAGAAAUUGAAAAACUAUCCACACGAAAAAUCACUGUCAUAGGAAACAAAAAUCAGGAAUUCUUUCAGAUCUUGUCAAAGACAACCAUG